CGUCUCUUUAACAAGUUUGUCUGAAGCAUUUCAACCAGCGACAGUGCUCUGUUUCUCUGUUAUUGAUUCAUGGCCGCAGCCUGAUGUCAACCACUUUGGCUUGUUCUCUGUCAAGACAGACCGUAUCAGCCACUCCCUGACUUUGUAAUGUGAAAAACCUGCACCGUCCGGUCAGCCUCUAAAUGUGUCCAGUAAAGUAUCCCCCUCCUUCCUUCUCCUAGCCAACGCUGCCAUUUGUUCUCCUGAUAAAACUGUCAUUGGUGAGGCUGAUAUCUGACCUCUACAGUGACUGCUAGCAUAAAUUAGCCUUGUACUAAUAUUGCAAUUUCUCUCGCUUCACUCAGAAUCAAGGUUUUUGACAUUUCUCUUAGAAUAAUAGGUUAUUGUACACACGGACACUUUUUAAAUCAAACUGUACAGUGAUAAAAAUGUCAAGGCCAAAUAUCUUCUUUUUUCUCUCUCGUUGCAUAGCCGGCGUUUUCUUUAACACCUAGAGAGUCAUCAGUGUCAGAAUUGACAUGCAUAUCAAUACGUUUUGGAUCGCACUGUCUCCUGUCUGUGACACUCCACACGUUGCUGCAUCUCUGCAGGAGUAUUGUAUAAGCUUUCAUUGCUUGCUGGUUAACCAAGACUUCCCCACUGCACACGACUCUUGAGAGGAAAAAAGACAACGUGACUGUCAGUGUGUCGCCUGACAGAUCUCCCAUCUGAAGUGUCGAAAAACAAUCGUUUCCAGCUCAAUCUCACUCAUUACUUUGUUGUGUUCAGAAAAAGUUGCAAAAAAAGUAGCGAAGAUCAAGGGACGGGAUUGAGAACGGUGUCAGGAAUGAUCGAAUGAUCAGCGAAGAUCUGAUGGGCUCAGACUGUUCAGUGAUUUGCCACCAAAUUCAGAGAGAUCCUCUUUUCAACACCUGACACCGAGCUUAAAGGAGGAUAAUGAUGGGUGAGAAAGCAGCUCCCACAAAGCAGCACUGUCGGCACAUAGAGGAAGGUGUGGAGUUGUUGUCACGGGAAAGGCUGGAUGUGUGUCAAAACAAGAGCUUCCAGCUCUCUGUAUCGCAGCUCUGGCUCUUCAGUGAUAUUACUCUCAUCCUCAUCUUACCUCUCCACUGACUACCCCUCGUCUGUCCCCACUGUCUCUCCCAGUUUCUCUUCGCCUUCUCCCUCUCUCUCUCUUUCCCUCUCUUUUUUUUUUUUUUUUUUCACAGACAGCUCUUUUCCUUAUUCCACGUGGAACAAAAUAAAGAACACCAUACAAAAAACUCUGAACUCUAAUUCACGUUGUCAAGUAAUCCUUAGUGCUGCUGUGGUUUUGCUUUGCUGUACUAAUAUGAUUUUAACUCGGGCAGAUUUCAUGGGAACAUAAGACUCUUGAUCUGCGUUGUAAUUGCGUAAAUCUUUCAGGCCGUGUUCCCAGUUUUACUAUAAUUUGAUGAGGAACUACACUAUAAUUGAAUAUUCAAAUUAGGAAUAUGUGUCAAUAUGGCUCUCCUUGCCUGGAAUGAAGAUUAAUUGUUGUCAAAACUCCAGUGGCCGACAUAAUACGAGCCCCAACACUGCUGUUGAUUAGUGAAUGCACUUGCCAUGUUUUUGUUUUAAGAAUUAGUUGUCUAAUUGAUUUGCCAUAUGUUACCUUCUCCAAUGCACAUAAAAUUGUAUUUAGAAAUCACCAAUUUGGAUUGAGACAGUUUUGUGUUUCCAACAGAUGGGAAAAGCAACCCUGGAGGUUGCCUUUUAGAAAAGCAUUUCAUGAGCACAUUUCCCUGCUUCCACAGCGACUCUUUGGGAGUUGAAUUCACUUUCUCCAAUGGAUAGAUAACCAGCAGCGGAAAAUCAACCUUUGCAAGGUAAAAGAAGUCUGCAUUGAAUAUGGCAAUCGUUCCCACAAGAUUGAUGCCAACCUUUUAAAAAUUCACCAUUGGCCUGGAUUUAACAUGGCCAAAUGCUAAUGUAAAUGAGGAGGAGAAAAGUCGACCCUUUCAUUGCAAAUAAAUCUGAGUUGCAGGCUUCAGCUCAUAAAUACCA